rnacentral:rRNA from 1 species
UUUGAUGGCGACCGGCGCACGGGUGAGUAACACGUAUCCAACCUGCCGAUAACUCGGGGAUAGCCUUUCGAAAGAAAGAUUAAUACCCGAUGGCAUAAUUAGACCGCAUGGUCUUAUUAUUAAAGAAUUUCGGUUAUCGAUGGGGAUGCGUUCCAUUAGGCAGUUGGUGAGGUAACGGCUCACCAAACCUUCGAUGGAUAGGGGUUCUGAGAGGAAGGUCCCCCACAUUGGAACUGAGACACGGUCCAA